UGCAAGUCGAGCGGGGGAAGGUAGCUUGCUACCGGACCUAGCGGCGGACGGGUGAGUAAUGCUUAGGAAUCUGCCUAUUAGUGGGGGACAACAUCUCGAAAGGGAUGCUAAUACCGCAUACGUCCUACGGGAGAAAGCAGGGGAUCUUCGGACCUUGCGCUAAUAGAUGAGCCUAAGUCGGAUUAGCUAGUUGGUGGGGUAAAGGCCUACCAAGGCGACGAUCUGUAGCGGGUCUGAGAGGAUGAUCCGCCACACUGGGACUGAGACACGGCCCAGACUCCUACGGGAGGCAGCAGUGGGGAAUAUUGGACAAUGGGCGCAAGCCUGAUCCAGCCAUGCCGCGUGUGUGAAGAAGGCCUUAUGGUUGUAAAGCACUUUAAGCGAGGAGGAGGCUACUUUAGAUAAUACCUAGAGAUAGUGGACGUUACUCGCAGAAUAAGCACCGGCUAACUCUGUGCCAGCAGCCGCGGUAAUACAGAGGGUGCAAGCGUUAAUCGGAUUUACUGGGCGUAAAGCGCGCGUAGGCGGCUAAUUAAGUCAAAUGUGAAAUCCCCGAGCUUAACUUGGGAAUUGCAUUCGAUACUGGUUAGCUAGAGUGUGGGAGAGGAUGGUAGAAUUCCAGGUGUAGCGGUGAAAUGCGUAGAGAUCUGGAGGAAUACCGAUGGCGAAGGCAGCCAUCUGGCCUAACACUGACGCUGAGGUGCGAAAGCAUGGGGAGCAAACAGGAUUAGAUACCCUGGUAGUCCAUGCCGUAAACGAUGUCUACUAGCCGUUGGGGCCUUUGAGGCUUUAGUGGCGCAGCUNACGCGAUAAGUAGACCGCCUGGGGAGUACGGUCGCAAGACUAAAACUCAAAUGAAUUGACGGGGGCCCGCACAAGCGGUGAGCAUGUGGUUUAAUUCGAUGCAACGCGAAGAACCUUACCUGGCCUUGACAUAGUAAGAACUUUCCAGAGAUGGAUUGGUGCCUUCGGGAACUUACAUACAGGUGCUGCAUGGCUGUCGUCACUCGUGUCGAGUUG
rnacentral:rRNA from 1 species